rnacentral:lncRNA from 1 species
GAAUAACGCCUGGUAUCUAGUAUGCACUGAGCAAACAUACAUUAUUGCUAUUAUUAUUUUAGGUUCUCCCUUUAGAGAAAAAAAUAUUCAUACUUGCUCUGAGGUCCUACCUUGUCCUCAUGUCUUAUUUCCCUGCAUUCAGCAUCCUUUAGAAUUAAGUGACUAAGGAUCAGAAGUAUCUAUUACCUCUGUAUUGGGAUCAUGGUUCCAUUCUUCUCACAAGACAAACUCAUUCCAGGAGUUAACAGCGGGGACUUUCUGGUCAAAUUCUAUUCAGUUUAGCUAUCUAUAAAUAUGACAUUCUCCUGGAUACACAUAACUCUCACUACCUAUGGAUCCAGCCUGAUGCUAAAGGUUCCACAAAUUGAGAAUUUGUGGGGUUUCAUAAAUACCUUGAAGGAGUAGAGGUUACUAGAUAACUGCAGAAAUAGAAUACAGAAUGGAAAAAAUGGAAGUGUAAAAUUUUAAAAGAAAAGGUUAGCUCAUUUUAAACAUACUCUAUGCACUGGUCAUCAGACACUUAGAAAUCUCAAAAUCAAAACAGGAACCCCUGGCCUAACAUAUUACCAGAUAUGCUGAGUUGAGCAGCUUAUGUCAUUAGAUAUUAGUUCUGUGUUUUUAUAGCUGAUGUCUUCUGUAACUUUUUAGUUACCAAAACAAUGUAUGUUCAUUUUAGAAAAAGUCAGAUAAUCCAGAAGGAGAAAAUGAAAGUCACUGAUAUACUACCACCUGGGGAUAAAGAUUUUGAUACAUAUUUUUUCUUACAAAAAAUAUAUACUUACAUUAUUUUUCUUACAAAAAAUAUAUACUUUUUUACAAAAAAUAUAUACUUUUAAUUUCUUAAGUAAACUUUUUACUUUGAGAUAAUUGUGAUUUCACAUGCAUUUGUAAGGAAUAAUGCAGAGUGAUUCCACAUACUCUUCAACCAGUUUCCUCCAAUGGUAACAUCUUACAGAACUGUAGUGGAAUGUCAUAACCAGUAUAUUUACAUUGAUACAGCUUAGAAAACAUUUCUGUCACCACAAGGAUCCCUCAUGUUCACCUUUUAUAGCCACAACCAUUUUCCUCCCAUCCCCUACUCUCUCCUGAAACCCUGGCAAUCACUACUUCUCAAUUUAUAUAAUUUUGUCACUUCAAAAACAGUAUAUAAAUAGAAUCAUACAACAUGUAACCUUUUAGGAUUGACAUUUUUUUCACUUAUCACGUAGCACAAUUUUCUGAAGAGUUAUCUAGGACAUCUGAGUUUUUUCCAUUUUUUGGCUAUUACAAAUAAAACCACCAUAAAGAUUUGUGUACAGGUUGUUGUGUGAACAUAAGUUUUCAUUUCCCUGGGAUGAAUGCCCAGGAGUGCAGUUGCUGGGUUCAUAUGGUAGUUUUAUAGAGUGACUGUACCAACUUACAUUCCUACCAGCAAUGUAUGAGUGAUCUAAUUUCCCUGCAUCCUUGCCAACAUUUGGUGUCAUCACUAUUCAAAUUAAUUUAAUUGUACAUUUUAAAAUAACUGAAAGAGUAUAAUUGGAUUGUUUGUAACACAAAGGAUAAAUGUGUGAGG